AUGUCUAGCAAGGAAUUCUGGGACAGGCGUCGGCGCAACCCAUAUGAGGAAGACCAAGAACCCAACCUUGUCAAUCGCCCGUUCUGGAACCGGUUUCAGUAUGCCACAUACUUUGAUGUGAUCAAGGCUAAGAAGAACCUCUUUGUCAAUGUUCAUUCCAUCAACACGGAUGCUAUGGAGAAGGACCCUGAUUACUUUGGUGAUGCCCUUCAGAUGUGCUCUCAGUUGAACAUUCUCAGGAUCAUGCAGUUCAACAAGGACUUUGAUGCAGAUUUGCUGGCACAGUUCUUUGCCACUGUUCACCUAGGAACUGAUGCAGACAGGACUCUGACUUGGAUGACAAAUGGAAAGGUGCUAGCUAUUAAGUGGCAGGCCUUCAUGGGGCUGCUUGAGGUGGAAGAUCAAGGGCUCGAGACUCCAGUCGGUUUUCGUCCUCACCAAAAUGUUACCUCCACUCACAAGCAAGCUCUCUGGCCCUACUGUACUCGGAAGGUCAACCCUGAGACCAGGAAGGAAACCUAUGAGUUGUCUGCCUAUCUGGAUAUCCUUCACCGUAUCUUCCGCGAGACUCUCUUCCCUCGUAUUGGGAAUCUUGACAUGGUACACUCUUAUCUUGUGGACAUGCUUCUCUUCUGCCAGCGUGAGAAGGAAGCAAACACUGGCGAGUCCCUGGACAUCUCUCAUGUCAUGUGGUCUGAACUCCUUGCUGCUGUUUCUGAGCGCAAGUGCCCAAUUUAUGGUCCGUUCAUUAUGUUGCUUAUUGAGAGGGCCUGGAGACAUACCUAUCCUAAGGAGCAGCUGGAGACUGGAGAGUUGGUCUCUCAUGAGAUCAAGCGUCUGAGGAAGAAGGACAAUUGGGGUAGGUCUGGAGUUCCAUCUUCUGCUGCUGCCAUGGAGACCGAGGACGAGGCUGAUGCCGGUGAUGAUGAUGAGGAGUAUGUGCCUCCUGGGACAGAGCCUUCUGCGGCAGAGCCCUCUUGGGCAAAGAAGCUCAAACACAAGAUGAAGAAGCUAUUCUGCAUGGAGUCUCACGGUCAGUACAUGACUCAUGUGGCUGAGAAGAAGGCAAGAGGACGUCACAAGGAGCUGAUGCGUCAGAUGGGUGCGACAGUCACCAGCGGCUCUGAGGGUCAGAUUACUUAG
rnacentral:rRNA from 1 species